rnacentral:rRNA from 1 species
CUGCUCAGAUUGAACGCUGGCGGCAGGCCUAACACAUGCAAGUCGAGCGGUAGCACAGAGAGCUUGCUCUCGGGUGACGAGCGGCGGACGGGUGAGUAAUGUCUGGGAAACUGCCUGAUGGAGGGGGAUAACUACUGGAAACGGUAGCUAAUACCGCAUAACGUCGCAAGACCAAAGUGGGGGACCUUCGGGCCUCAUGCCAUCAGAUGUGCCCAGAUGGGAUUAGCUAGUAGGUGGGGUAACGGCUCACCUAGGCGACGAUCCCUAGCUGGUCUGAGAGGAUGACCAGCCACACUGGAACUGAGACACGGUCCAGACUCCUACGGGAGGCAGCAGUGGGGAAUAUUGCACAAUGGGCGCAAGCCUGAUGCAGCCAUGCCGCGUGUGUGAAGAAGGCCUUCGGGUUGUAAAGCACUUUCAGCGGGGAGGAAGGCGGUGAGGUUAAUAACCUCAUCGAUUGACGUUACCCGCAGAAGAAGCACCGGCUAACUCCGUGCCAGCAGCCGCGGUAAUACGGAGGGUGCAAGCGUUAAUCGGAAUUACUGGGCGUAAAGCGCACGCAGGCGGUCUGUCAAGUCGGAUGUGAAAUCCCCGGGCUCAACCUGGGAACUGCAUUCGAAACUGGCAGGCUAGAGUCUUGUAGAGGGGGGUAGAAUUCCAGGUGUAGCGGUGAAAUGCGUAGAGAUCUGGAGGAAUACCGGUGGCGAAGGCGGCCCCCUGGACAAAGACUGACGCUCAGGUGCGAAAGCGUGGGGAGCAAACAGGAUUAGAUACCCUGGUAGUCCACGCUGUAAACGAUGUCGAUUUGGAGGUUGUGCCCUUGAGGCGUGGCUUCCGGAGCUAACGCGUAAAUCGACCGCCUGGGAGACGCGCUGACAAUCGGAUGACCGCCCUUUUUC